CAAAUGGGAGAGAAAACUGGAAGCCCCUUGGUGGAGAGAGAAUGCAGGAGAUCCCCUAUGCUGGCCAAUCUUAAUGGACAGAGGGUGGAAGAAUCCCUCUGAAGAUACAGAAAGAGGAAUGGGCCUGUUAGGUGCUGGGUAAGGACUACAGGCUAGUGCACCUUCCCUAAGAUGGCAGCUGCAGUGAACCACUGAAGCAUCUCUGGACUAUGGAAGCAAGGACUGCUUAUGGUCAACACAGGCAGGCACUGCUUGGAGAAGAGGGGAAGCAAUCAGGAGAUUUCUUUUCAAGGUGCAAAGGGAAGUGUUUGUUUUAUUGCAACAAUUGAAAGCCAGCACACUUGUAGAUAUAGCAGCCACUGUGGAAAGCUUCACUCAUGAACGCACUUUCCUUUUGGAAGCUGGCAGG